AUGGCGGCGACGGGCGUCGGCGCCGGGUGCCUCGCCCCCAGCGUCCGCCUGCGCGCCGAUCCGGCGACGGCGGCCCGGGCGUCCGCCUGCGUCGUCCGCGCGCGGCUCCGGCGCUUGGCGCGGGGCCGCUACGUCGCCGAGCUCAGCAGGGAGGGCCCCGCGGCGCGCCCCGCGCAGCAGCAGCAACUGGCCCCGCCGCUCGUGCCAGGCUUCCUCGCGCCGCCGCCGCCCGCGCCCGCCCAGUCGCCGGCCCCGACGCAGCCGCCCCUGCCGGACGCCGGCGUGGGGGAACUCGCGCCCGACCUCCUGCUCGAAGGGAUUGCUGAGGAUUCCAUCGACAGCAUAAUUGUGGCUGCAAGUGAGCAGGAUUCUGAGAUCAUGGAUGCGAAUGAGCAACCUCAAGCUAAAGUUACACGUAGCAUCGUGUUUGUGACUGGUGAAGCUGCUCCUUAUGCAAAGUCAGGGGGGCUGGGAGAUGUUUGUGGUUCGUUACCAAUUGCUCUUGCUGCUCGUGGUCACCGUGUGAUGGUUGUAAUGCCAAGAUACUUGAAUGGGUCCUCUGAUAAAAACUAUGCAAAGGCAUUAUACACUGGGAAGCACAUUAAGAUUCCAUGCUUUGGGGGAUCACAUGAAGUGACCUUUUUUCAUGAGUAUAGAGACAACGUCGAUUGGGUGUUUGUCGAUCAUCCGUCAUAUCAUAGACCAGGAAGUUUAUAUGGAGAUAAUUUUGGUGCUUUUGGUGAUAAUCAGUUCAGAUACACACUCCUUUGCUAUGCUGCAUGCGAGGCCCCACUAAUCCUUGAAUUGGGAGGAUAUAUUUAUGGACAGAAUUGCAUGUUUGUUGUGAACGAUUGGCAUGCCAGCCUUGUGCCAGUCCUUCUUGCUGCAAAAUAUAGACCAUACGGUGUUUACAGAGAUUCCCGCAGCACCCUUGUUAUACAUAAUUUAGCACAUCAGGGUGUGGAGCCUGCAAGUACAUAUCCUGAUCUGGGAUUGCCACCUGAAUGGUAUGGAGCUUUAGAAUGGGUAUUUCCAGAAUGGGCAAGGAGGCAUGCCCUUGACAAGGGUGAGGCAGUUAACUUUUUGAAAGGAGCAGUUGUGACAGCAGAUCGAAUUGUGACCGUCAGUCAGGGUUAUUCAUGGGAGGUCACAACUGCUGAAGGUGGACAGGGCCUCAAUGAGCUCUUAAGCUCCCGAAAAAGUGUAUUGAAUGGAAUUGUAAAUGGAAUUGACAUUAAUGAUUGGAACCCCACCACAGACAAGUGUCUCCCUCAUCAUUAUUCUGUCGAUGACCUCUCUGGAAAGGCCAAAUGUAAAGCUGAAUUGCAGAAGGAGCUGGGUUUACCUGUAAGGGAGGAUGUUCCUCUGAUUGGCUUUAUUGGAAGACUGGAUUACCAGAAAGGCAUUGAUCUCAUUAAAAUGGCCAUUCCAGAGCUCAUGAGGGAGGACGUGCAGUUUUGGUUUUUACUCUUAUUUUUACAGGUCAUGCUUGGAUCUGGGGAUCCAAUUUUUGAAGGCUGGAUGAGAUCUACCGAGUCGAGUUACAAGGAUAAAUUCCGUGGAUGGGUUGGAUUUAGUGUUCCAGUUUCCCACAGAAUAACUGCAGGUUGCGAUAUAUUGUUAAUGCCAUCCAGGUUUGAACCUUGUGGUCUUAAUCAGCUAUAUGCUAUGCAAUAUGGUACAGUUCCUGUAGUUCAUGGAACUGGGGGCCUCCGAGACACAGUCGAGACCUUCAACCCUUUUGGUGCAAAAGGAGAGGAGGGUACAGGGUGGGCGUUCUCACCGCUAACCGUGGACAAGAUGUUGUGGGCAUUGCGAACCGCGAUGUCGACAUUCAGGGAGCACAAGCCGUCCUGGGAGGGGCUCAUGAAGCGAGGCAUGACGAAAGACCAUACGUGGGACCAUGCCGCCGAGCAGUACGAGCAGAUCUUCGAAUGGGCCUUCGUGGACCAACCCUACGUCAUGUAG
rnacentral:rRNA from 1 species